CCUACGGGAGGCAGCAGUGGGGAAUAUUGGACAAUGGGCGAAACCCUGAACCAGCGAAGUCGCGUGAGUGAAGAAGUAUCUCGGGAUUGAAAGCUCCUUUAGUAGGGAAGAUAAUGCCGGUACGUGAGUAAGAAUCCCGGGCUCCCUACGUGCCAGCAGCCGCUGUAAUACGUCCGGGGCACGCGGUAUCCGGAUUUACUGGGUGUAAAGGGUGCGUGAUUGGUAUGGUAAGGCAGAUGUGAAAGCCCGGGGGUGAACCCUGAUACUGCAUUUGAAACUGGCGAGCUGGAGUGCAGGAGAGGUAAGCGGAAUGCGUGGUGGAGCGGUGAAAUGCGUAGAUAUUACGAAGAACUCCGGUGGCGAAGGCAGCUUACUGGCCUGUAACUGACACUGAAGCACGAAAGCGUGGGGAUCAAACAGGAUUAGAUACCCGAGUAGUC
rnacentral:rRNA from 1 species